CGCGGAGUGUGUGCAGGUGCUCCAGGCACCCAGGGCAGGGCGGCGAGGGACCUGCCUCUGCGAGGACCGAGGGAGCCCGGGCACCAUGCGCGCUCCCCGCGGCCCGCGGGGGCCCGCGGCGCAGCCCCAGCCUCUGCUGCUCCUGUGCCUGCUGGCGGCGGGGCGCCCCGGCUCCGCGGAUGACCGUCCCCCAGCUUCACCUUUUAUAAGUCUAUCUGCUCGAGAAGAAAUUCUGGCCAGAUACUCCAACCUUUCCUUGGAGAGUCACAACCUAUCCCUGACUGAAUAUUCCAAUGUUGCAGUAGAAAAAAAUAUCAUUUUGCAAAGACCUUCUAAUGUAGAACUCACGUGCCAGUUCACAACAUCUGGGAAUCUGAAUUCAGUAAAUGCGACUUGGAGAAAAGAUGAUGAACUUAUUGAGAAUGGCUAUCUCAUCAAUGCAACGGGAAAGAUUCUGUAUACCCAAUACAUGUUCACCAUCAUUGAUAGCAAGCAAAUGGGAAAUUAUUCUUGUUUCUUCCACGAGGAAAAGGAACAAAGGGGCACAUUUAAUUUCAAAGUCCCAGAACUUCAUGGAAAAAACAAACCAGUGAUCACUUAUGUGGGGGAUUCAACUGUAUUGAUAUGUAAAUGCCAAGAGUGUGCUCCUUUAAAUUGGACCUGGUACCAUAUGAAUGGGAGUGAGCAGGUUCCUCUUGAUGUUCAAAUGAGCGAUAAGUAUGUGAUCAGUGGACCAAAUGCUAAUGAAACAAGGCUCAAGAUAAUGCAUCUUUCAGAGGAAGAUCAGGGAGCUUACUGGUGCCGUGCAAUAUUCCAAUUAGGCGAGAGUGAAGACCACAUUGACCUUGCCGUGCUGAGUUAUUUGGUGCCCCUCAAACCAUUUCUUGCCAUAGCUGCUGAGGUUGUUCUUUUAGUGGCUAUUAUUCUGCUUUGUGAAAUGUACACCCAAAAGAAAAAGAACCGCCCAGAUGAUGGGAAAGAGUUUGAACAAAUUGAGCAGCUGAAAUCAGACGAUAGCAAUGGUAUAGAAAAUAAUGUCCCCAGGUACAGAAAAAACGUAAGUUACUUCUAAAUGCUAUUCCAAAUAAAAGGUAAAAUUCAAUAUACAUAGGCUGUCUAUUAACCCAGCUACUUAAAAAAAAAAAAGUUUCAUUAAAGAUCUAGUCAAUCACUAUGUGCUUGGUUCUGCUUGUUUACGAUAUUAUGGGAGAAAAUAGACAGUUAUACAAAAAUAAAUGACAUCUUUUUCCCCACCAGAGAACCAAUAUAAAAGUAAACCUAUUGUACUGCCUACAUCUAUGCUUUUUCUUUUGUCACCAUGGGCUAGUUUCUUUUACAACUUUUCAUGUAGUCUUAUUUUUUUCCCCUUCUCAAUUUUUCUGGAUUGUCCUAUUUUAUCCUGACAUAUUCCAUCUUUUUUUGGUUACUAUUAUUUUCUUUACUGAUUAGAAUAAAAAUUUUCAUAGUUUGUCAGUAUUUUUCUCCUGAGUAGGUAAAAUAGGAACUGUUGGAUUUAGCAGUAGUUUGGAUCACCCCUUCCUAGAAAGUUUUGCUUUGCUAAGUGAUGAUAAGCCAUUACAGAGUAACAGGGGCAUGCUAAUUAAGUUUCAUUAUGUUUUUAUUUAUUUAACUCAGGAAUCUGUGGGCCAAUGAAUGAGAAGCCUCAUGCCAAGACUCAUGGGAAGAUGUACAAAGAGUUUGUGCUUAUGCUUCCUGU